AUCCGUGCGUAGGNGGUUUGUUAAGUCNAUUGUGAAAUCUCUGAGUUCAGCGUGGGNAUGCCAGUGGAUNCGAGCAAGAUAGAUUAUGUCAGAGGAUGGUGUAAUUCCUGAGGUAGCGGUGCAAUUCGUAGAGAUUGGGAGGAGCAUCAGUGGCGAAGGUGAUCAUGUGGGCUACCAUUGCCGUUGAGCCUCAAAAGCAGGGUGAGCAAACAGGAUUAGAUUCCCUGGUAGUGCUCGCCCUAAUCUAUGCGAAUUGGAUGUUGGUCUCAGGUAGGAGAUCAGUGUCGAACAUACUGUGUUAAGUUAGCCUCCUGGGGAGUUCGGUGGCAAGACUGAAGGUUAAAGGAAUAGACGGGGCCCCGCACAAGCGGUGGAGUAUGUGGUUUAAUUUGAUGCAACGCGAAGAACCUUUCGUGCCCUUGCCAUGUCCGGAAUCAAGCAGAGAUGCGGGAGUUCCUUCGGGAAUCGGAACCCAGGUGCUGCAUGGCUGUGUUCAGUUCGUUUCGUGAGAUGUUGGGUUAAGUCCCGCAGCGAGUGCACCCCUUGUCGUUAGUUGCCAGCCAGUAAUGGUGGGAUUUUUAAGGAGUCUCCCGGUGACAAUCCGGAGGAAGUUGGGGAUGACUUCAAGUCAUCAUGGCCCUUACGGCCAGGUCUACCCACGUAUUCNAAUGGUCGGUACAGAGGGUUGCAAUCCCCCGAGGUGGAGCCAAUCCCAGAAACCCGAUCCCAGUCCGGAUCGAAGUCUGCAACUCGACUUCGUGAAGUCGGAAUCGCUAGUAAUCGCAGAUCAGCUAUGCUGCGGUGAAUACGUUCCCGGCCCUUGUACACACCGCCCGUCACCCCAUGGGAGUG
rnacentral:rRNA from 1 species